rnacentral:rRNA from 1 species
AUUGAACGCUGGCGGCAUGCCUUACACAUGCAAGUCGAACGGCAGCAUGGAGAGCUUGCUCUCUGAUGGCGAGUGGCGAACGGGUGAGUAAUGCAUCGGAACGUACCGUGUAAUGGGGGAUAACGUAGCGAAAGUUACGCUAAUACCGCAUACGACCUGAGGGUGAAAGCAGGGGAUCGCAAGACCUUGCGUUAUACGAGCGGCCGAUGUCAGAUUAGCUAGUUGGUGAGGUAAAGGCUCACCAAGGCGACGAUCUGUAGCGGGUCUGAGAGGAUGAUCCGCCACACUGGGACUGAGACACGGCCCAGACUCCUACGGGAGGCAGCAGUGGGGAGUUUUGGACAAUGGGGGCAACCCUGACCCAGCCAUGCCGCGUGAGUGAAGAAGGCCUUCGGGUUGCAAAGCUCUUUCGGCCGGGAAGAAAUCGCACAGGCUAAUACUCUGUGUGGAUGACGGUACCGGCAUAAGAAGCACCGGCUAACUACGUGCCAGCAGCCGCCGUAA